rnacentral:rRNA from 1 species
UACGUAGGUGGCAAGCGUUGUUCGGAAUUACUGGGCGUAAAGCGCGUGUAGGCGGCUCUUCAAGUCAGGCGUGAAAGCCCCGGGCUUAACUCGGGAACUGCGCUUGAUACUGUCGAGCUAGAGUGUGGAAGGGGCGAUUGGAAUUCCGUGUGUAGCGGUGAAAUGCGUAGAUAUCAGGAGGAACACCGGUGGCGAAGGCGGGUCUCUGGGCAACAACUGACGCUGAGGAGCGAAAGCGUGGGGAGCGAACAGG